rnacentral:rRNA from 1 species
CCCUAUGGGGUGCAGCAGGCGCGGGUGACGUGAAGAAGUGCUAUCAGUGCGCCACCUGUUCGGUUGCGUGUCGUAUAUCUCCCGACAACAAGCCUUAUCCUCGCAAGGAGAUGAUCUGGGCGCAGUGGGGACUCAAGGACAAGUUGCUCAACGACCCUGAUGUCUGGUUAUGUCACCAGUGCAACGAUUGCUCGACCCAGUGCCCGCGCGGCGCAUACCCCGCGGACGUGCUCAAAGCCGUGAGGAAGAUGAACAUCCAGGAGCACUCCUGGCCUUCCUUUCUCGGCAAGCUGGCGGGGGAGC